GGGGCAGCAUGAGGACAUCCUUUCACAGAGGCAGCAAAUGAAGAAGAGAAAAAGGAAGCCACCUCAGCACGUUCUAUCUUCUGCUUUGAUCAAGACCAUGCAAAGAGGCUGGAUGAGGCCCAUUUGUGUCCAAAACAGUUGUGGUGCUAGUCCACUGGAGCUGUGCAGCCACACAUGCUGCUUCCCAUCAGGCAGGAGCAGAUAUACGGGAAUUGCUAAGUUAGGGCCUGAACCAAUGAUUGAGCACCUGGUGAACAGACACAGCCAGCCCUGGGAGCACAGGUGAAUUGCUUUAGACCAUCAGCCUCAUGAGAAGCCUCAUUUAAGAGCUGGCUACCACAGAGGAAGAAUAUUUACCUGGAGAUCUCUCCUUUUGGAGUAUCAGAGGAGCCCUGAUCCUUGGGA
rnacentral:lncRNA from 1 species